rnacentral:rRNA from 1 species
UGGCCGGGCGACGGUUGUCCCGGUUUAAGCGUGUAGGCUGGUUUUCCAGGCAAAUCCGGAAAAUCAAGGCUGAGGCGUGAUGACGAGGCACUACGGUGCUGAAGCAACAAAUGCCCUGCUUCCAGGAAAAGCCUCUAAGCAUCAGGUAACAUCAAAUCGUACCCCAAACCGACACAGGUGGUCAGGUAGAGAAUACCAAGGCGCUUGAGAGAACUCGGGUGAAGGAACUAGGCAAAAUGGUGCCGUAACUUCGGGAGAA